rnacentral:rRNA from 1 species
GUGUCAGCCGCCGCGGUAAUACGGAGGGUGCGAGCGUUAAUCGGAAUGACUGGGCAUAAAGGGCGCGUAGGCGGAUUGAUAAGUUAGAUGUUAAAGGCACGGGCUUAACCUGUGAUUGGCAUAUAAUACUGUUAGUCUUGAGUGCGAGAGAGGGGGGUAGAAUUUCCGGUGUAGCGGUGAAAUGCGUAGAUAUCGGAAGGAAUACCGGUGGCGAAGGCGGCCCCCUGGUUCGACACUGACGCUGAGGCGCGAAAGCGUGGGUAGCGAACAGGAUUAGAUACCCUGGUAGUCCACGCUGUAAACGAUGAGAACUAGCUGUUGGUGGUAUAUAAACCAUCAGUGGCGUAGCAAAUGCGCUAAGUUUUCCGCCUGGGGAGUACGACCGCAAGGUUAAAACUCAAAUGAAUUGACGGGGGCCCGCACAAGCGGUGGAGCAUGUGGUUUAAUUCGAUGCAACGCGAAGAACCUUACCUACUCUUGACAUCCUGAGAACUCAGUAGAGAUAUUGAGGUGCCUUCGGGAACUUAGAGACAGGUGCUGCAUGGCUGUCGUCAGCUCGUGUCGUGAGAUGUUGGGUUAAGUCCCGUAACGAGCGCAACCCCUAUUGCUAGUUGCCAUCAAGUAAUGUUGGGCACUCUAGUGAGACUGCCGGUGACAAGCCGGAGGAAGGUGGGGACGACGUCAAGUCAUCAUGGCCCUUACGAGUAGGGCUACACACGUGCUACAAUGGGGAGUACAGAGGGAUGYRAAGCCGUGAGGCCAAGCGGACCCCAGAAAGCUUCUCGUAGUCCGGAUUGGAGUCUGCAACUCGACUUCAUGAAGUUGGAAUCGCUAGUAAUCGCGAAUCAGAAUGUCGCGGUGAAUACGUUCCCGGGCCUUGCACACACCGCCCGUC